rnacentral:lncRNA from 1 species
GAAAAGAAAGUGAAGCUCUUCUUUAUAGUAUAAGAGCACCAUUAACCCUAAAACCAUCAUUUGGGGUUCUUAACUUUUUUUUUUUUUUAAAUAACCAAUUGCGGGCUACCACGUGUCAGUGGGGUCCGCAAAUACCAUAAGAACCCACCAAACUUGCCUCUUGUAGAAGAGAAAGAAGAGGUGGUUUUUAAUAAAGUUGUGAGACCCACCUUCUAAGAACCCACUUAAGAGGUGGGGUUAAUGAUGCUCUAAGAUGUAUCUUACUUUUUUAGUUUGUACACUUGCUUUACUCGUUGAGCAUCUUUUACAAUAUUUAACCGUCUGCAUUUUAACCUUUUUA